rnacentral:tRNA from 1 species
GGGGAAGUGGCUCAGUGGUAGAGUGCUUGCCUUGCAUGCAUGAGGCCAUGGGUUCGAUUCCUCAGCACCA